UUCGAUAACGAACGAGACCUUGACCACUAAAUAGCCCGUACUGCCUCGGCAGUUCGCUGGCUUCUUAGUGGGACUAUCGGCUCAAGCCGAUGGAAGUUCGAGGCAAUAACAGGUCUGUGAUGCCCUUAGAUGUUCUGGGCCGCACGCGCGCUACACUGAUCAAGUCAACGAGUUUACAACCUUGGCCGGAAGGUCUGGGUAAUCUUUUGAAACUUGAUCGUGCUGGGGAUAGUCCAUUGCAAUUAUUGGACUUCAACGAGGAAUUCCUAGUAAGCGUGAGUCAUCAGCUCGCGUUGAUUACGUCCCUGCCCUUUGUACACACCGCCCGUCGCUAAUACCGAUUGAAUGGAUAA
rnacentral:rRNA from 1 species